CCUACGGGGGGCAGCAGUGGGGAAUCUUGCACAAUGGGCGAAAGCCUGAUGCAGCGACGCCGCGUGCGGGACGAAGGCCUUCGGGUCGUAAACCGCUUUCAGCAGGGACGAGGCCGCGAGGUGACGGUACCUGCAGAAGAAGCCCCGGCUAACUACGUGCCAGCAGCCGCGGUAAUACGUAGGGGGCGAGCGUUAUCCGGAUUCAUUGGGCGUAAAGCGCGCGCAGGCGGCCUGCUCGGUCGGGAGUCAAAUCCGGGGGCUCAACCCCCGCCCGCUCCCGAUACCGGCGGGCUUGAGUCUGGUAGGGGAAGGCGGAAUUCCCAGUGUAGCGGUGGAAUGCGCAGAUAUUGGGAAGAACACCGGUGGCGAAGGCGGCCUUCUGGGCCACGACUGACGCUGAGGCGCGAAAGC
rnacentral:rRNA from 1 species